rnacentral:rRNA from 1 species
UGGGGAAUAUUGCGCAAUGGGGGGAACCCUGACGCAGCCAUGCCGCGUGAAUGAAGAAGGCCUUAGGGUUGUAAAGUUCUUUCGGUAUUGAGGAAGGUUGAUGUGUUAAUAGCACAUCAAAUUGACGUUAAAUACAGAAGAAGCACCGGCUAACUCCGUGCCAGCAGCCGCGGUAAUACGGAGGGUGCGAGCGUUAAUCGGAAUAACUGGGCGUAAAGGGCACGCAGGCGGUUAUUUAAGUGAGGUGUGAAAGCCCUGGGCUUAACCUGGGAAUUGCAUUUCAGACUGGGUAACUAGAGUACUUUAGGGAGGGGUAGAAUUCCACGUGUAGCGGCGAAAUGCGUAGAGAUGUGGAGGAAUACCGAAGGCGAAGGCAGCCCCUUGGGAAUGUACUGACGCUCAUGUGCGAAAGCGUGGGGAGCAAACAGGAUUAGAUACCCUGGUAGUCCACGCUGUAAACGCUGUCGAUUUGGGGGUUGGGGUUUAACUCUGGCGCCCGUAGCUAACGUGAUAAAUCGACCGCCUGGGGAGUACGGCCGCAAGGUUA